CGACGAUUCGUGGGGAGAUUGGUUUCAAAUUAAUCUUAAGGGUUCUUGUUUUUGGUUUGAUUUAGGCAUGAAACUAUUAUAAUCGGCUGGGCUUCGUCUCCUUCGUGAUGAUUGGUUUCAAAUUAAGGGUUUUGUUUUUGGUUUGAUUCGAGAACGAAACUACAACAAUCGGCUGGGCUUGGUCUCCUUCGUGAUUGAUUUGGUU